CCAGCCACACUGGAACUGAGACACGGUCCAGACACCUACGGGUGGCAGCAGUCGAGGAUUUUUCUCAAUGGGGGAAACCCUGAAGGAGCGACGCCGCGUGAGGGAUGAAGGUCUUCGGAUUGUAAACCUCUGUCAUCUGGGAACAAUGUGCUCACCUAAUACGUGCGCAAUUGAUAGUACCGGAAGAGGAAGCAGUGGCUAACUCUGUGCCAGCAGCCGCGGUAAUACAGAGACUGCAAGCGUUGUUCGGAUUCAU
rnacentral:rRNA from 1 species